rnacentral:ncRNA from 1 species
AAAUCGCUGUGAAGAUGCAGCGUUCCCGUGGCAAGACGGAAAGACCCCGUGAACCUUUACUAUAGCUUUACACUGAACGUUGAGUUCGUCUGUGUAGGAUAGGUGGGAGGCUAUGAAACUGUGGCGCUAGCUGCAGUGGAGCCAUCCUUGAAAUACCACCCUGUCGUGCUUGACGUUCUAACCUGGGCCCAUUAUCCGGGUCGGGGACCGUGUAUGGUGGGUAGUUUGACUGGGGCGGUCUCCUCCUAAAGAGUAACGGAGGAGCUCGAAGGUACGCUCAGCGCGGUCGGACAUCGCGCACUGUGUGCAAAGGCAUAAGCGUGCUUGACUGCAAGAUCGACGGAUCAAGCAGGUAGGAAACUAGGACUUAGUGAUCCGGUGGUUCUGUAUGGAAGGGCCAUCGCUCAACGGAUAAAAGGUACUCCGGGGAUAACAGGCUGAUACCGCCCAAGAGUUCAUAUCGACGGCGGUGUUUGGCACCUCGAUGUCGGCUCAUCACAUCCUGGGGCUGUAGUCGGUCCCAAGGGUAUGGCUGUUCGCCAUUUAAAGUGGUACGCGAGCUGGGUUCAGAACGUCGUGAGACAGUUCGGUCCCUAUCUGCCAUGGGCGUUGGAGAUUUGAGAGGGGCUGCUCCUAGUACGAGAGGACCGGAGUGGACGAACCUCUGGUGUUCCGGUUGUCACGCCAGUGGCAUUGCCGGGUAGCUAUGUUCGGAAGCGAUAACCGCUGAAAGCAUCUAAGCGGGAAGCGCGCCUCAAGAUGAGAUCUCCCGGGGCACAAGCCCCCUGAAGGAACCAUGUAGACUACGUGGUUGAUAGGUCAGGUGUGUAAGUACAGCAAUGUAUUGAGCUAACUGAUACUAAUGAUCCGU